rnacentral:lncRNA from 1 species
GGGCCUAGUGGAGCAAGAGCUGAGGUCAGUAAUUGCCCACUGGGAACUAUAAAUUAUAGUUCUCACGCCCUCUUUUUCUCGAUGUUUUUCAGAGCCUUCCACUCAGGGUGAGGCUAGGGACCGCGGGAAGGGAGUUGCUUCGAGCUAGCUUCCUACGAGGACGACUUGCUAGGUGGUCUACCUCUCGUUGUAUUCUAUUUUGGAGAGGUUGAGAGUUUUGCCCGUGUACUAGAGACCACCAUUUUUGUACAUUUGAGACAGAUAUUGUACUUCUUAUGACUCCUUUUAUUGUCUAGCUUUACUUCUUUACCUU